CCUACGGGUGGCUGCAGUGGGGAAUAUUGGACAAUGGGCGAAAGCCUGAUCCAGCCAUGCCGCGUGUGUGAAGAAGGCCUUCGGGUUGUAAAGCACUUUCAGUGGGGAAGAAAGCCUUGGGGCUAAUACCCUCGAGGAAGGACAUCACCCACAGAAGAAGCACCGGCUAACUCCGUGCACAGCAGCCGCGGUAAUACGGAGGGUGCGAGCGUUAAUCGGAAUUACUGGGCGUAAAGCGCGCGUAGGCGGUCUGAUAAGCCGGUUGUGAAAGCCCCGGGCUCAACCUGGGAACGGCAUCCGGAACUGUCAGGCUAGAGUGCAGGAGAGGAAGGUAGAAUUCCCGGUGUAGCGGUGAAAUGCGUAGAGAUCGGGAGGAAUACCAGUGGCGAAGGCGGCCUUCUGGACUGACACUGACGCUGAGGUGCGAAAGCGUGGGUAGCAAACAGGAUUAGAUACCCCGGUAGUC
rnacentral:rRNA from 1 species